AGAGUUUGAUCCUGGCUCAGAUUGAACGCUGGCGGCAGGCUUAACACAUGCAAGUCGAGCGGAGUUGUGGUGCUUGCACCAUAACUUAGCGGCGGACGGGUGAGUAAUGCUUAGGAAUCUGCCUAUUAGUGGGGGACAACAUCUCGAAAGGGAUGCUAAUACCGCAUACGCCCUACGGGGGAAAGCAGGGGAUCUUCGGACCUUGCGCUAAUAGAUGAGCCUAAGUCGGAUUAGCUAGUUGGUGGGGUAAAGGCCUACCAAGGCGACGAUCUGUAGCGGGUCUGAGAGGAUGAUCCGCCACACUGGGACUGAGACACGGCCCAGACUCCUACGGGAGGCAGCAGUGGGGAAUAUUGGACAAUGGGGGGAACCCUGAUCCAGCCAUGCCGCGUGUGUGAAGAAGGCCUUUUGGUUGUAAAGCACUUUAAGCGAGGAGGAGGCUACUCUAGUUAAUACCUAGGGAUAGUGGACGUUACUCGCAGAAUAAGCACCGGCUAACUCUGUGCCAGCAGCCGCGGUAAUACAGAGGGUGCGAGCGUUAAUCGGAUUUACUGGGCGUAAAGCGUGCGUAGGCGGCUUUUUAAGUCGGAUGUGAAAUCCCUGAGCUUAACUUAGGAAUUGCAUUCGAUACUGGGAAGCUAGAGUAUGGGAGAGGAUGGUAGAAUUCCAGGUGUAGCGGUGAAAUGCGUAGAGAUCUGGA
rnacentral:rRNA from 1 species